ensembl:lncRNA
AUGGGCAUGUAUAUAUAUAUAUAUAUAAUAUCUAUGUGUGUGUGUGUCAGUUGGUCUCGUAGGAGGAGAGCAACGCGGCGUCCACAGGCUCCAUGCAGGAGGGGCAGAGCCGUCCCGCCCCGGGUCGUACACGCCCUUCGGGAGGUGCUGGAUGAGGCCGAUCCGCUGUGCGAUGCGGACCUGCUCCUCCUCGGUCAGCUGGGUGGCCAGUCGGGCCUGGCUGGGCGUCGGGUGGUAGACAGGCACGUGGAUUUGCUCCUGGGGAACAGACGGGAGAGGUGAGCACAUGGAAAGAAAAGGUCAGACCGGGGUCACAAUAGCUGGAGGUCGGGUUUGUGGUGGGAAGGUGAGACACACUUUUCCUAUCCAACAAACAUGCUUUGUUUUUUUUAUAUACAAUUAUUCCUGUGAAAAACUAGCCGAGCAGAGCUGAAACCAAUAACUAUUGUCAAUAACUGAUACAGUUAACAAUUCACUACAAGCAUAAAUUCAUUAUGGUCAUGAUGGGGGAUUACAAUCCCGCGCACUAGAUGGUAGUGUUUCCAAACAGCCGCAGGUGACAAGAAAUAUUUUCAAUCUGAAACAUAAUCAUGAACAUGAAGAGUGAAGAGUAUAUUCUUUUAUCCCGCCUGUCUGCUCCAAACCACACAGGUAGGAGUUUAAAGCCAAUGAAAGUAACAUCAAAUCAAAAUGACAUCAGAACAAACUUUCAGUAUCAGACCAGGCAUAAUGCUGUGAUAUGAAUGUCAUCUGAUAUUUUAAUGUGCAUUUAAUACAGAAAAUGAUCUGCCCUGCACACCAAUAAAUAGUGAAAAUAAUUAAUAGGUGCAGCCCUAAAUAAAGAGUUGAUAAGCUAAAUAAAGAGUUGUCUCUACAAGCAGUUGUAUAUAGUAAAUAAUAGGACCAUCAAAGCUGAGCUAACAUAUUUCACAGAUUUUGCCAUACGAAAUCUGUGAAAUAUUUGUAUUUUAGAGACAGUUUACAUGAAGUCAGGGGAGAAAAUGUUAACAUACAUUUUAUUUUUCUGCCGGGUGCCCUCCCAUCGUGCUCCUCUCUGAACAACCCUUCUACUCACUCCACUCUCUCACUUUGCGGUCUACACUUCCUUCCUUCCUUCUCAUGCGCUCGCUAGUCUGUAGCGCGAGUACUAGUUCCUCAUGUCCCGGUUUGACCCCACUGCGUCAGCCCACUCGCUCACUCCUCCUCUUCCAGCGUCAGGCACCUGAAAUGAUCCAUCAGCCCGUGUGUGGAUUAAUCAAAGUCCCCUGUAAUGCCAUUAUGUGAGCUCUAUACCUGCACAUCCACACUGCAGGGAAGCGCUGUGUGGUGGAACGAAGGGCGCUGGAGGUGAGAGGGGUCUUAGCGGGAGAGAAACCCAUCUGCCCCCUUUGAUGAACACAUACGAGUGUGUUUGUGAUCUAUUGGUCAAGAGGGCUUUCCACAACCGAACAGCGCAGGAGGCCAUUUAAACAUAUCAAGUAGUCCUCUCAGUAGCAAACGUUUUUACUGCAUAAAAGAUUCCUUUUUAAGUUUAAUUUUACGAAGCGGGGGGACACACAAGGUCAAAGGGGGUCACUUUGGUGGCUACGUUCAAAUGUAAUGUGGAACAAGCCGAAUAGCAGCGCUUUAUUUCAGCUCAAGCCACGGAGCAGCUCUGACUAGACAAGCCACAGGUUUAGUGGAUGUGGGAAAGGGUUGCAAACAUCCGGCGUGGCGGUGACUUCCGUUUAUAACACGCGGCGUUGGAACAGCUAAAUCAAAUGACGUUAGAAGUAGAAGAACGGCAUUUCCUUAAAUUCAGUCUGAAAGUAUUCCAAACCUCGGGCCCCACCUACUUGCCCCGUUCCCAGCAGUGUCCACACGCACCGCCACCAGAUACACGAGGCGUUAUCGAAACCUGUUGAUCUGGUGACUGCAGAGAAACACAAUCUUUGAACGGGACGUCCAGGCGCGCGCCCACAAUGCAGGGCGAGCACACACAGCGGGUGACCCUAACGACGACAGCAGCAGUACGAGUAUUAACCCUGGUAUUUACUCAUAACUUGUGAGUCGCUUUUCUGCAGCCACUCAAAAACUACACAUUAAACUAAACAUUAGUCAGACGACUUGGUGGAUGAAGUUGGGCAUGUGUGAGUCAAAGCCCAAGUUGGGCAUGUGUGAGUCAAAGCCCACACACCAGGAGUCUGAACAAUGGCUUGUUUGUCAGCACGGCCUCCUCCUCCAGUUUCUCUAUUAGGUCAGACUGAAGGUAAUCUGCUCAGUUAGGAGCCUCCGUUUCCCUCAGAGGGGAAAACGCGCCCGCGGAGCCACGUGGGCGCCGUCUUCCUGUGGCGCUGGAGAAACGCCCCAGGCCGCUGUUUGGUCAGGUUCUGCUGCUGGUGUCACUUUGUACGAUGACAGAGAAGACUGACCGCUAAAGUGGACUUAAUGGUGGGAAUCAUUAACUGUGUACGGUUAAGUCUGCUCAACAUUAAUCAGUCUGAUCUAGCAGGAAAUAUUCAUUAAGGAAAGAUUAUAAAGGGUAUAUUAAAACAGAAAAAUGUGUCCAAAGAGAAUAAAUCUGCUACUUUGCAGGGUUGUUAAAUCCACUUUGGAUAAAAUCUGUUUAACUAGGAAAAUUUCAAUAAAAAUCGUUUUCAGGGUGUUUAGUAUGGCGCUGAAAACGUGAAUGUCAUUGUGUGUAAAUGAUCUGCCUGUGUGUUUGAUGCCAGCCAUGUAACGGACUGUUACAAAAAAAAAACUAGUCAUCCGUCACAAGGGGCUCUCUAAUGGGAUCACUCUCUUAAAAAAACCCCCACUAUUCAUGAUUAUUUAGUCGACCUAAUCAUGCCUGUGGAUUCAGGGACACCAAAUUUAGCUCUUCUGCCUGAUGCUCAGGAAUCAGGGAUCAUUUAUUGCCAUAAUAUGUCAGACAUACAAGGAAUUUGACUUGGCGGUUGGUGCAUCACAGCAGACAGUAUACGACAAUGGACGAGGAAUAAAAUGAAAUAUAAUGCUGUGUUAGUAGCAUAAGGCUAUCCCUGUGACCGAAGACAGGGAGGAAGUAACACAAGGGCAAUACAAAGUAGUCGUAGCCGUGUUACUGUGUGGUUCCUGUUAUAUGUGGUUGGCACACCGCGUUAAAUUAUUAAUAAAUACGUCGAUCACACAAAUGGCUCAUCAGCUCCUCCACCGUUCACCAUUUUUUUUAUUUUUUACGUGGUUAAACUUUUGCAUUCGUGCCAAAAGUCUGCUUGAAAGCUGAAGAGCCUCCUCUUCAGAUCGCCUCGGUCGGCUCCGUCCCAUCUGCUGCGCUCUCCCACGUCAACACUCCAGCUCUGACAGCUAAUUAUAAACAACCUCUGAAGCAAACCCCCCCCUCCCAUUUCGUUUGACCAAGCUGGCGGAGCUCGAACCAAACUGCUGACUGCGAGCUCUUUUGUCUUGAUGUCGAGGCAGGUGGUUGACAGAAUCUGUGCUUUUCAGUUUUGAGUGUGUGUGUGUGUGUGUGUGUGUGUCCACUACUGGUCUGCAGCACCAUCAGAAAGUACAUUUGGCCCGGUUUCUUGUGCAGAGCAGCAGGCUCUUAUUUAACAGGUUUUAAAUCAUCUUGUACCUUCUGGGCCUCAUGUUUGCACCACAGUGAGCGAAACAGUUGGAAAAGGCUUCAAGUCCAUCUACACACACACACACACACACAAAUUAAUCGUAUAAAGUCUGCGAGGGGUUCCAGCCAACGAGGUUUGGCCGUGAAGCUACAUGUCACAGCAGCACAAAGGCCUUUGUGCCACACUCAAUGUGAUCAAUAAAAACUCCUGUCAGUGUUGCCAUCUUACAGACACACACAGACACACACACACACACACACACACACAGACACACACACACACACACACACACACA